GAUGAAGAACGUAGCGAAAUGCGAUAAGUAAUGUAAAUUGCAGAAUUCAGUGAAUCAUCGAAUCUUUGAACGCACAUUGCGCCCGCCAGUAUUCUGGCGGGCAUGCCUGUUCGAGCGUCAUUUCAACCAUCAAGCCCCCGGGCUUGUGUUGGGGACCUGCGGCUGCCGCAGGCCCUGAAAAGCAGUGGCGGGCUCGCUGUCACACCGAGCGUAGUAGAUUUUAUCUCGCUCUGGGCGUGCUGCGGGUUCCGGCCGUUAAACCACCCUUUUAACCCAAGGUUGACCUCGGAUCAGGUAGGAAGACCCGCUGAACUUAAGCAUAUCAAUAAGCGGAGGA
rnacentral:misc_RNA from 1 species